UGAAAAGACCAUACUUGAAGCUGAUGUUGUUCUUGUGUCUGCUGGCCGGACUCCAUUCACCGCUGGGCUCGGGCUGGAUAAGAUAGGAGUGGAAACCGAUAAGAUGGGACGGAUACCAGUUAAUGAGAGAUUUGCUACAAACAUACCUGGUGUUUAUGCGAUUGGAGACGUAAUUCCAGGACCAAUGUUAGCUCACAAGGCAGAAGAGGAUGGGGUUGCUUGUGUUGAAUUCUUAGCUGGUAAACAUGGCCAUGUGGACUAUGAUAAGGUCCCUGGAGUUGUCUACACACACCCUGAGGUUGCUUCAGUUGGGAAGACUGAGGAGCAGGUA
rnacentral:lncRNA from 1 species